rnacentral:rRNA from 1 species
GUCCACGCCGUAACGAUGGAUACUAGCUGUUCGGAGCAAUCUGAGUGGCUAAGCGAAGUGAUAAGUAUCCCACCUGGGAGUACGUUCGCAAGAAUGAACUCAAGGAAUUGACGGGCCCGGCACAAGCGGUGGAGCAUGUGGUUUAAUUCGAUGAUACGCGAGGAACCUUACCAAGGCUUAAAUGGGAACGACAGGUUUGGAACAGACUUUUCUUCGGACGUUUUCUAAGGUGCUGCAUGGUUGUCGU